CCAAAAUAGAGGCAGUUAAAUUGUUAAAACGAUUGUUAUUCCGGAUUAUCUCCACGUAUCCAGGGAUGAUACCGGAAUAAAUAUUUGUUAUUCGAUUACGAAUAUUUAUCCCGGUUAUUUUCGCAUUGCCUUCCAUCUCGUAAGGAUAACAGGUUAUUUUUCAAAUCGUCAUCAGCAUCAGCGAUAGUUAGUACAGGUG